GACGAACGCUGGCGGCGCGCCUAACACAUGCAAGUCGAACGAGCGAGAGAGAGCUUGCUUUCUUGAGCGAGUGGCGAACGGGUGAGUAACGCGUGAGGAACCUGCCUCAAAGAGGGGGACAACAGUUGGAAACGACUGCUAAUACCGCAUAAGCCCACGGUGCCGCAUGGCACAGAGGGAAAAGGAGCAAUCCGCUUUGAGAUGGCCUCGCGUCCGAUUAGCUAGUUGGUGAGGUAACGGCCCACCAAGGCGACGAUCGGUAGCCGGACUGAGAGGUUGAACGGCCACAUUGGGACUGAGACACGGCCCAGACUCCUACGGGAGGCAGCAGUGGGGAAUAUUGCACAAUGGGGGAAACCCUGAUGCAGCGACGCCGCGUGGAGGAAGAAGGUCUUCGGAUUGUAAACUCCUGUUGUUGGGGAAGAUAAUGACGGUACCCAACAAGGAAGUUACGGCUAACUACGUG
rnacentral:rRNA from 1 species